rnacentral:lncRNA from 1 species
CAGAUAAUGGUGCUGCUGGGUACAAACGCAGCGUUUCUUUCACUAUGGCUUGGAGGUAGACUAGCUUGCCUAUAUCUGACUCACUCACAACUCUUUGUCUGCCUAUUUCAGUGUCCAGUUCGUUUUGGGCUCUUUUAAGCACAUGAGGGUUGUUCAAUAAUAGUGAUAUUGCCCAUGUUAAUGUGACCAUGGUGGUAUCGCUACCUCCUGCAAUCAUAUUCUGCAAAAGUACAAUUUAUUUGAUUAAUUAUUUAUAUUAAGCUAAAGUAUAUAGAUUAAGCUAGGCAUAUGUUUGAUUACCAAGCUUGUGGCUUUGUUGACUGUGUCAGCAUCAAAACCGCCAAGGUCUGCACCAUCAAGCACAGAAAGCAUGGCGUCUAUGAAGUCUUGUUCCCCUUUAGCAUCACCUCUUGCCCUCCUCCUCUUGUGCUCUUCAACCCACCCUCCAACGAUGGCGUCCAGUUCUUUCGCAACCUUCUUCAUCGCCUUCUCAUGCCCACCCAAGUCCAACCACCGAAGAUAAGGCACCACAUCACCCACCACAGACACCCCCACAUAAUAAAAAAACACCUUCAAUGCACUCUGAACCCUACGUGCUUCUUUCUUCUCAUCCUCAUCCGCCGCAACCGAAUAACGCUUUCCGGCCACCAUUCUAAGAAUCACGUUCAAAGUCAUGUCCCCAAACCACUGCUUCAACUCCACCAAAACUCCGUCGCUAUUAUUGCUCUUCCUUUUCUCCUCGGUGCUCCAAGUUUUGUACAAUUCUUGCAAGAAAGUUGUCACUUCAGAGACUCGAAUGCGUCUGAGCAGCUCAAGCCUUCGGUUAGAGAGCAGCUCCAAAGUGGUAAUCUUGCGCAUCUCUCGCCAGAAGUGUCCGUAGGGUGCAAACGCAAACAUGGCGCCGUUAUAGCCAAUGUGAUCCACAACCGCGAGCUUUGGACGCGAGUUUAAGACCAAGUCAUUGGUUGUGAAGCAUUCUUUUGCGAUCUCACUGCUGCUUAUCACGAGAGAUGGAUAGACGCCGAGGCGGAUGGUGAAGAGAGGCCCGUACUUGUCAGCCAUGGCUGCCAAUUUGAUGUGAGGAGGUGUGGAUCCUCCUAGCAAGGGAAGGUGGCCAAAUAUCGGCCAUGCACCCUUGGCUUCAGUUGGGGCUAAUUUGGCAGGUCUCCAUCUGCGUGAGAAGUAAUAGGAAACGAUGAUUAUUGUAAAUAAAAAAGCAGUGAUGGAGUUUACAUAAGGGAGAGAAUAAUCCAUUGAAACUAAUUGGUAAUUGGAAACUUAGAAAGCUAGAGAAUGACAGCCAUGUCACACAUAUUAUAUAGGCGUGAUAUCUAUGUUCAUAUAUGAUACAUAUCAAUACCACCUCAUGAGGAUAGAACAGAAUAUUAUUAUUAUAGAUAAAAUUCUACGCUAAGGAAGUAAUGAUGGUGAUGGUGAGCCUUACAUGAAAAACUGUGUAUCUAUUUUGUUUGCUAUUGCUACGAGACACAGUCCAUUGCUAAAAAAAUCGACAUAUUUAUUUCCCGUACGUAACUUCUGGAGUCUAUUCCUUUCCAAUUGUCCAUCUCAUUUUGUAGAUUUAUAUCAAAAAGCUGGACCAUCAAGUAAGAUAAGAUUAUACACAUGUAUGAUGUUUAUAGCAAAUAUGACCAGCCAAUUGGAGAAUGACAUAUGGAAUUCGAUCCACAAACAACCUAUUAAAUUUAAACAACUUAUUUCGUCCCACAAAAUAUCAUCGGUAAGUUGUGAGAAUUCGGCACCUUGGCCUGCCAAUCAUGAUUAGAAACCACGCUCCAUUGAAGAUUUCUCACAAGGACACAUGGUGCCUCCUCAGGUGAUGCCAAGAGUCUCACAUUGAAAUCUCACUCAAGAUGCAUAUCUCCUAAAAUUUAUAAAAAUAGACACAAGUCCCUAAAAAAAGGUAAUUGGGACAUUUGACUACUUAUCCAUAACUUUGUCCAAAUUAGUAUUACUGCCAAAGAGCACACAGAACCGAAAGCGACAUCAUCACUAAAUUGAGCCCAAAAAUGACCAACCAUUUUUUAGCAUCAACAUAUGACAUGUUCCUUAUUUUGAUAAUGUCAAAAGAAGAGGAAUUUAUAAACUGGAACUAUUUAGUUUAAUACAUUCAGAACAUAUAUGCAUAUGUGCAUUUUAUAAUAUCACAGCAUUUAUUACUACAUAUAGCUAAAUUCGCACUCUUAACUAUUUAAUUAUAAAAAUUAGGAGACAAGCAGGGAUGGAUUCAAAAAUUUUCCUUCCAAGAGUCAAUGUCUAAAAGGUUAAAAAAUUUCUAUACAAAAUAGACCUAUAAUUUUUUUUAAUAUUAAAAAACCCUUAAUCUAUUCAAACUAACAGUAACGAACCAAAAUUAAACCUCCGCGGCAACCAAAAAAAACAAAAAAACCUCAACAACUAAUCAAGAAAAACAUCAAUAUUCAUCCCAUAAAAAUAACACGAUAAAUUAUCAUUCAUAUAUAAUUCAUUAAGAAAACAACAUUACAAAACACAUAUUAAAUCAAUCCACCAUAUUUUUAUUAACUAUAUUAACCAAUCCACAAAAACAAAAACCUUAUAUUAAAAUGCACAAAGAUUCAACUCCUAAAGUAACAACUUUAAACAUAUCAACCUACUAAAAAGAAAUAUUAUAAACAUUGCAGGACAGUCAACAAUGUAAUUUAUCUCGGUUACAGCUAUAUUGAUGUAGUGAACCUUAUUUAUGUUUCUAAUAUUGAAAAAAAUAAAAGCAAGACAAAAACAAAUUAUAAAAUAGAAUGAGCUAAAAUUAUGUAAUAAAGAAAAAUACAUGAAAAGGAAAAAAAUGUAAAAUAAAAAGUAAACGCAAAGUAAAGAGCAAAAGGAACAAAGACAAAAAUAUAUACAAAAAGAAAAAUUUGAAAUGAAAAAGAAGAGAAAAAGCAAGAUUGGGAAAGAGAAAAAAAGAAGAAGAUAAAAACAAAUUGAAAACAUAAUAGCGUAUUGGGUUUGAAAUGUCCAAUGUAUUGGGGAUUGUGGGCUUUAUCGGGUAGCAGCUUCAUUGCUUGCCGUUGCCCCUUUUUAUUUUAAUAUGUUUAAAAAAUAAAAAAUAAAAACUUAAAUGAAACGGUGUCGUUUGUAGGUGAAUCAAAAGAAGAAAAAAAGGAAGCACUCUGUGUGCAAUGCUGUUUGCUGCGCUGAAGUUGAAGUUGUUGUAACCUUUUGAGGCAUUUCCUCGAACAGAUGGCGGGCAUGAAUUGCCCAGCCAUCCAGCCAUUGCAAGGGUCAAUUUUUCUUCCUCUAGUGGCGGAUUCCGGAGUUGCAAGGGUCAAUUGACCAUCCUUGUUCUUCUGUGGAUCCGUCUCUGGAGACAAGCGUGGUUUGACGAGGACAGAAAGAGGGGUCAGUUUCAUGUUCGUAAGUCCAAUACUUCCAGUCAUAUCAAUUGGUGCGUUUUCUUAAGUCGUGACAUCAAACGAAUGAAGAAAACUAGCCAAAGUUCCUAUAAUACCCUUGAUUAUAUUUUUAAUGUGAUUUGUUUAAGAAAGGCCAAAAGUCACUUUUGGUCCCUAUAGUUUGGCACUUCAACUACUUUUGACCAUGUAGUUUCAAUUCCAUCAAUUUUGCCAUUGUAGUUUCGUAUUUGUAGCAAUUCAAGGACAUGUUAUUAUUCUUGUCAAUUUCUUUAACGAUGCAAGGGGCAAUUUCGUCAACCCAAAACCCUUGAGCGUAAAAGCUUGUCUGAAAAUCUCCCAAUUUCAUAUUAGGACUCGAAAUUCAACCACUAAUCCCAAUUUUUGAAGAACCUUAAACCCAAAUGACCAAUUUAAAGCCCUAAUAUGAAAUUAGAGAAGUUUUAGACGAGCUUUUGUGUUCAAAGAUUUUGGGUUGACGAAAUUGCCCUUUGCAGCGUCAAAGAAAUUGACAGAAAUACUAACUUGUCCUUGAAUUGCUACAAAUACGAAACUAUAUGGUCAAAAAUGGUUGAAGUGCCAAAUUACAAGGACCAAAAGUGACUUUUAGCCUUUAAGAAAUUAACUGCAAUUCAAUGCCGAUUAAUUGUGUUUCGAUUUUGUAUAGAUUCCAAAGAUUUAAUGGGUCAGUUUUUUCCUUAUUUAAAAAAAGUAAUUAAAACUUGGUGUAAUGACUGUCAUAUGGUUUGAAUAUACUCAUUGUUUCUAUAAAAAACACAAGAAUAUAUUCGUUUUUUUUAUUUUUUUCAAAUUUGACUUCUUGAUCAUUUCAUAUUUUAAUUUUCAAAUUGAUAGCUUAUUUAUACCAAUUUCCAAAUUCAAUAGUUGUUAUGGUUUGAAAUUAAUUUGUUCAAAGGGAAAUAACAUGUUAUUCUUUAUUUGACCCCGUGUUUAGGUACAUCAAUUUACCUACAUUUUUUCUUAGCAACCUAUGCCUCUAGGUAGGUAAAUUAAUAUACAACCAACUAAGGUGGUACAAUUUUUUUUAGCUACCUAUGCCUCUAGGUAGGUAAAUUAAUAUACAACAAACUAAGAUAAAUCCUUAGCAAAAAAAAAAAAAAAAAAAACUACGGGUAAAUAAUUUACCUGUAAGCAUUUAUAGGUAUUUUUACCUAUGGGUAAAUAAUGUACCUAUAUCUUCUAUAAAUUAUUGUGUACCUAUUUUUAAUUUGUGAAAAAUGUAUGAAAAUUUCAAUUACAAAGUAACUGGCCUAGUUUUUUUUUUUUUUUUUUUUUAAAUUUGGUAAAUAAUAUACCUAUAUUUUUAUACGUAUAUAUUUAUAUUUAUAUUUUUCAUAGGUACAUUACUGGAUAUGUAAGUUACAUAUAUAAUUUUUUUGGUUUACAAUUUUAAGGGGCAAUAUGUUAGAGAGAAUGGCAACCAAAAGAAAUGGGGUGAUUGAUAUGCUAUUAAUAAGGAGUAUAAAUUACACUUAUUUCAGUUAAUGAAAUGGUUGAAAUAAAUAAAUAUAUAUAUAAAGCAAAAGUCAGAGAAUGGUGAAACAUUCAAAAUACCAGAAAAUGCCUUUGGUUAAUUUAAACAUUGAGAAUUGAAAUUAUUAAUUAAAUAAGGAUAAUAUGGUAAAUUCACAAUUUUUCAUAUUAAAUAAAAUUAAAAACAAAAUCAGAUAAUAGGUCCUACUUUUAUGGAACAUAACUACUCAUAUUAUCUUUUCUUAAUUCUAAAAAUAAAAUAAAAUAAAGAAAACCAAUUGGCACAUGCAUGAGCGUGUGCCAAGGGGCUAGUUAUAAAUUAAAUAUGAAGUUUGGUGGCAACAAUAUAAAAACAUAGGAAUACUAUGACCUCUUAUAUUCUACUCGGUCAUUUAUGUUUGAAAUUAAGUUUUACACAAAUUUAGAGAAUGAUAAGUAUAUGACUAAGAAAUAAAAAAUAUAGAGACUCAUAUUCGACAAGCCCUUUUAUCCAUAAAGUUGAGAGGGCAAACGAGGAUUGAUGAGGACUUGAAGAGGGGUCGCCUUGACGUUUGUCAGUCCAAAGCUCUCAGUCAUAUCAAUCGGUGCACUCGAGGGGUUGGAGAUUUCAAACGCAUGCACAAAACUAGCCAACGUAAAUUGCACCAUUUGAAGCCCAAAUGCCAAGCCAGGGCAUGCUCUUCUCCCACUUCCAAAUGGAAUUAACUCAAAGUGCAAUCCCUUAACAUCCACAUCCCUGUGGCUGGUCAGAAACCUCUCCGGCUUGAAUUCCAAUGGAUCGGGCCAUAUUCUCGGGUCGGUUUGAAUCUUCCAAAGGUUCGUGAUCAACCGGGUGCCCUUUGAGACAUGGUAGCCGCCUAUGGUGCAGUCCUCGGUGAACUCACGUGGUCCAGAUAAUGGUGCUGCUGGGUACAAACGCAGCGUUUCUUUCACUAUGGCUUGGAUGUAGACCAGCUUGCUUAUAUCUGACUCACUCACAACUCUCUGUCUGCCUAUUUCAGUGUCCAGUUCAUUUUGGGCUCUUUUAAGCACGUGAGGGUUGUUCAAUAAUAGUGAUAUUGCCCAUGUUAAUGUGACCAUGGUGGUAUCGCUAGCUCCUGAAAUCAUAGUCUGCAAAAGUACAAUUUAUUUGAUUAAUUAUUUAUAUUAAGCUAAAUGAUAUAGAUUAAGCUAUAGGCAUAUGUUUGAUUACCAAGAUUGUGGCUUUGUUGACUGUGUCAGCAUCAAAACCGCCGAG